UACGAUCUUGGUGUGCCACGAGA
rnacentral:siRNA from 1 species